rnacentral:rRNA from 1 species
GGUUUCUUGUAAUUAUUUAGGAGAUCUAACCUGCCCGCUGAAAAUUAUAAUUGAAGGGCCGCAGUAAUUUGACUGUGCAAAGGUAGCAUAAUCAUUAGUCUUUUAAUUAAAGGCUGGUAUGAAUGGUUGGAUGAAGUGGAUGCUGUUUUAUAAUAAUUAUUAGAAUUUAGAUUUUAAGUAAAAAGACUUAAAUAUUAUUAAGGGACGAGAAGACCCUAUAGAGUUUAAUAAAUAUAUUGUUUAAUUAAGUUAAUAAAUAAUUUUUAGUUAUUAUGAAAUUUAUUUAAUUGGGGUGAUUAAAAAUUAAAUUUAACAUUUUUUUAAUUUAAAUAUUUUUGUGAAUUUAAAUGAUCCAUAGUUAAUGAUUAAAAGAUUAAAUUACCUUAGGGAUAACAGCAUAAUUUCUUUUGAGAGUUCAUAUUAAGAAAGAAGAUUAUGACCUCGAUGUUGGAUUAAGAUUAGUUUUGGGUGUAGAUGUUCAAUUUACUAGGUCUGUUCGACCUUUAAAAUCUUACA